CGCCUUUUCAAGGCGAUCUGCUAUACACAUCUGCGCGUAGGUCCGGCGCUUAUACCCGGGCCCGCUCUCUCUUGAGGGAGUGUCCCUGCGC
rnacentral:sRNA from 1 species